AGUCUGGUGCCAGCAGCCGCGGUAAUUCCAGCUCCAAUAGCGUAUAUUAAAGUUGUUGCGGUUAAAAAGCUCGUAGUUGGAUCUCGGUUUCACUCAGGUGGUACACCUUGCGGUGUUCACUAUCUGGGUGGACGUUUCUGUUGGUUCGCUCUUGGUGCUCUUCAUCGGGUGCCAUUUGGUGGCCAGCACGUUACUUUGAAAAAAUUGGAGUGCUCAAAGCAGGCGUUACAGCCUGAACAUUAGUGCAUGGAAUAAUGGAAUAGGAUCUCGAUUCUAUUUCGUUGGCUUUCGGAGUCGAGGUAAUGAUUAAUAGGGACAGACGGGGGCAUUCGUACUGCGACGUUAGAGGUGAAAUUCUUGGAUCGUCGCAAGACGAACUACUGCGAAAGCAUUUGCCAAGAAUGUUUUCAUUAAUCAAGAACGAAAGUUAGAGGUUCGAAGGCGAUCAGAUACCGCCCUAGUUCUAACCAUAAACGAUGCCAACCUGCGAUCCGUCGUCGUUAAUUGAAUGACUCGACGGGCAGCCUCCGGGAAACCAGAGUGUUUGGGUUCCGGGGGAAGUAUGGUUGCAAAGCUGAAACUUAAAGGAAUUGACGGAAGGGCACCACCAGGAGUGGAGCCUGCGGCUUAAUUUGACCCAACACGGGAAAUCUCACCAGGCCCGGACACCGGAAGGAUUGACAGAUUGAGAGCUCUUUCUUGAUUCGGUGGGUGGUGGUGCAUGGCCGUUCUUAGUUGGUGGAGCGAUUUGUCUGGUUAAUUCCGAUAACGAACGAGACUCUGGCCUACUAACUAGAAGGUCUAUCCUUUAUGGGUAGGCCUCUGCUUCUUAGAGGGACGGGCGGCGUUUAGCCGCACGAGAAUGAGCAAUAACAGGUCUGUGAUGCCCUUAGAUGUUCUGGGCUGCACGCGCGCUACACUGAAGGAAUCAGCAUGUUCUCCCCUCCCUGAAAAGGGCGGGUAACCCGUUGAAACUCCUUCGUGAUGGGGAUUGGAGAUUGUAAUUAUUCUCCAUGAACGAGGAAUUCCCAGUAGGCGCGAGUCAUCAGCUUGCGUCGAUUACGUCCCUGCCCUUUGUACACACCGCCCGUCGCUACUACCGAUCGAGUGAUUUAGUGAGGACUUCGGACUGGUCUUCAAGUUGGCUUCGGUCGGCUCGAAGUUCCGGAAAGAUGCCCAAACUUGAUCACUUAGAGGAAGUAAAAGUCGUAACAAGGUUUCCGUAGGUGAACCUGCGGAAG
rnacentral:rRNA from 1 species